rnacentral:lncRNA from 1 species
CACUACUGUCUGUGAUUCAGUGUCAUAGCAAGCUAUAAUCCUAGUCUGCGUUCGCUUUUCGGUGGUAUGGUGACCAAACUUUGAAACUGAGGCUGUUUCCAGAAGCGCACAGUCAGUGUGAACCACAUCAGACAGUGACCAUUCUGCUCCUUAUACAAUUCCUGGGAAGUCAGUCCACAGUCUCCUUUAAUGAUUCAUCCACCCCAGGACUCAACAACCCAGAUUGUUGAAAUUUCUUAUUGUAUAUAUCUUGAAGCUUGAAAACAUUCCAUGUUUUUUUCUUUUUUUUCCAUUUUAUGUGGAAUUUGAAACCUCUUUAGUCUAAUAAUUCCUAAUACACUUUAAUGUGAUUAUUAAAUGAUAUUAAACAUAAUUUUUUAAAGGUAAGCCAUCUUAAGCAUUUAGCAUUUCUCGUGUCUUCCUUUCCACUCUCUCUUUUGUAUAUUUCGGCAUAUGAAUA